UGGCAUUAAUCCACUCAUUUGGUGUCCACCAAUAAACAAAUGAUUCGAGUGAUUCUUACAAUUUGUAGAUAAGGUGAUAGGUAUGGUUGUGAAAUUCUUUUACACUGAUACUCAUUACCAAUAAGAUGUGAAGAAUCGGACAGGAGUACUAUAUUUCACUUGGUUUAAUAAACUUUCCUCUUCAUCAUGAUUUGAAAUUUUAUUUUAUGUUGGUUUCCUACAAUGUUGUGAAUUCUAUUCUUGUUAUUUUUAGGUUAGUACCAAUAUAUAGCGCAAGUAUAGUGGACCAGUCAAUAUCUGGUUGUCUCUCUUGUAUGCCAUGUAUCAUAAAAAAGGAGAGUUGCAUUGUAUGCUGAAUGAACGUCCACGCAAAAGCUAUAUUACAAUGGCACAACACAUGAGCCAGUGGAUUUGGUUCCGCAAGCUUUUUGUGCUGUUUUUUGUGCUGAAGAAGAUCAACUUGUAGGUGCAUGGGAUGGGAUAUACUGGCUAGUAGGUGCAUGGGAUGGGAUACACUGGACAAAGUAACUAAUGACUUGUGGAGUAAAUCUCGUAGUUUCCCAUAGAUUCUCCUUACAUAUUCUCGAAUUUUAAUCUAAUUUUGAAUAAAUUUGGUUAAAUAUUUAGGACCCAUCUCAACAAGAUGAAUGGUAGUCAAUAUUUAAUUGGUGUGAUAUGCUGGUUCAUCUGGAAGUCCAGGAAUUCGUUCAUAUUUUGAUGAAAAACAGCCUUUUGGAAAAUUUGGUGUUUUGUGGGAUUUCGAUGAGGGAGUGAUUGCUAUGGGGUCGUCUUCUAGCUGGCAAACCGCACCAAGCAAAAGUAUCUAUGAGGAUUCUAUAAAAUCUUUUGAUGAAGCUAUUAUUCCCCACUUUGGUGCCUUCUCCUUUACCCCUAAGCUUUAAGCCUUUGCUGGUGAAAGAUUUCCCUCCCAGAGAAAUAGGGGUUGUUAAUGAUUGUUUCUCUCUAUUAUAAUUUUGUGGCUAAAGAACAGAAUUUUGUUGUUACUUAACAAAGCAGUUCAGAUUGGGUGAUUCUAUUACAGUGAAGUACUUAUUUUGUAUUUCAUUUUCA